CCGUGCUAGAUGGGGAGGUAGCGGUGCCCUGUAACCUGCAACCCGCUAUAGCAGGAUUGAAUACCCGUGUUGAGGCCCCGAUUCUGUGGGGCUGGCUCCGGCAAGUAGUGUUGACUGCCGGGUCCUGGGCAAUUGGCCUCUGUGAACCCCGUCAGAUCCGGGAGGAAGCAGCGGUAAGCAGAAGCGUCAAUGUGCCCCAGGGGAGCCUGGCACGAGCCAACUACCGGGGUAUCGCCCAUGGGUCGGUGUCGAGAACGGGGCACGG
rnacentral:SRP_RNA from 1 species